rnacentral:snRNA from 1 species
UCAGCUUUUUCCUUGGCUUUUUC